rnacentral:rRNA from 1 species
GACAGAGGUGCCGAGCGUUAUGCGGAAUCACUGGGCUUAAAGCGUGUGUAGGCGGCUUUGUAAGUACCUUGUGAAAUCCCACGGCUCAACCGUGGAACUGCUUGGUAUACUGCUUAUCUUGAGCCACUUAGGGGCAGUCGGAACAGACGGUGGAGCGGUGAAAUGCGCAGAUAUCAGGAAGAACACCCGUGGCGAAGGCGGCUCUCUAGUACGGUACUGACGCUGAGACGCGAAAGCGUGGGGAGCGAACAGG